ACGGCGUUAAUCGCCACGCUAUCGCGUCCGCUCCGCAAUAAUCCGCAAGUUCCUCCACCUUUUCUAUACUCAGAAUAGUGGCGAUCUGCGUCAAACGCGCGAACUUGUCCCUCACCGACCACGAUGUGGCAGCUGCCAGAUUCCAUAAGGACGCACGCUUGCGAGGGACUGAACGAGAUCCAGUCGAGUGGGAAGUACUUCGAGGAGGCACUUUGAAAAUUCUCGAAGAUACAUACUCGAUUGAAAGUCGAUUUUAGGACCACCUUCUCCAAGCGCGCUGUAACCUCCGCUGUCAGAAGUCCAAUGAGUGCGUCGUAGUUGGAGGUCGUUAGGCUACCCUUGAAUCCUUGGAGCAGGCCGUCCAGAUUUGCGUCUUACCUAUCGCACUCCUUCUGCAGAAUGGAGAUUGUCAUUAAAAGUCUACCAGGCCCGUAAUAAGUCUCGAUAAUUGGUUGAUGCACUUCUACGAUGCGCGCGAUUCCUUCGAACAAGAGAGUCAU